UACGGGAGGCAGCAGUGAGGAAUAUUGGUCAAUGGCCGAGAGGCUGAUCCAGCCAUGCCGCGUGCGGGAGGACGGCCCUAUGGGUUGUAAACCGCUUUUGUCAGGGGGCAAUAAGGGUCACGUGUGGCCUGAUGAGAGUACCCAGCGAAUAAGCAUCGGCUAACUCCGUGCCAGCAGCCGCGGUAAU
rnacentral:rRNA from 1 species